rnacentral:rRNA from 1 species
UACGUAGGGUGCGAACGUUGUCCGGAAUUAUUGGGCGUAAAGAGCUCGUAGGCGGUUUGUUGCGUCGGCCGCGAAAACUUGGGGCUUAACCCCGAGCUUGCGGUCGAUACGGGCAGACUUGAGUUCGGCAGGGGAGACUGGAAUUCCUGGUGUAGCGGUGAAAUGCGCAGAUAUCAGGAGGAACACCGGUGGCGAAAGCGGGUCUCUGGGCCGAUACUGACGCUGAGGAGCGAAAGCGUGGGGAGCGAACAGG